rnacentral:lncRNA from 1 species
CCUUGCUGGAGAUACCAAUGUCAGGGUGAACCUGCUUCAGAACCUUGAAGAUGUAGAUCUUGUAUGUCUCCACAUUCUUCUUGUUUCUCUUCUUUUUCUUAUCACCACCAGCUCCUCCCUCCUUCGGAAGCUUCUUUCCUGCCUUUGGCUUCUUCUCCGCCGGAGCCUUGUCCCCAACCGUGGACUUCUUCUCCUCCGCCGGCUUCUUCUCCGCUGGCUUCUUCUCUGCCUUUGGUGCCAUAUCUAGUGCAGAACUUGUGCUCUGUAGAAAUUUAGGGUUCAGAAUUGGGAUUUCAAAAGCUUAGUGGAAAAGCAAUUGAAGGUGUGAAUGAAUUGAGUUUGCAGGGAUUGUUAAUAUAGGGGAAGGUUUUGAGGUUCUGAUUGGCUACUGCGCUUUGGCUCGGAUCGAUGACCUGGCGUUUUGAUGAGUCUAUUGUUCAACGGCUGAGAUGUUCUUUUGGCUUUUCAGUUUUCCUUGGGCGCCUAAAUUUAUUUUUGUCCCGCUAUUACCUUUUGUGAUUAAAAAAUGAAACUUCCUUAUCACAAAACAAGCAUUGAGUAUAUUUUGUUUUACGAGAUUUCGUUCCUACGUAAUAAAAAUAUAUAACAAAGUUAAUAACUAUUCUUCUAUCAAUAUUACAUAUUAUUGAAUUUUUCCAUUAUAACAAAAUUGCUUUAAAUAAAUAUUAUCUAAUUUUAUUAUCCUCCCAAAUAUUAUAUUUUUAUGAUAAAUUAUUUUCCUUUUAAAUGUACAUAUUAAGAAGCAAAAUAUUUUCCUUUUAAAUGUAGUAAAUUAGGCUUUAAAAUGAACAAAAAUAAUAGUUUUCCGAGACGUGAGUAAUCACUGUCCAUAAGAACUUAUCCGCAGUGUAUUGCGUAAGUCUCCAAUGAUACAAUAGGAACUUUCUAGAAAUUUUUGAAGAUCAGAACUAGCAAGUUUCUCGAGUAAUACCCAAAUAGAACCCAUAAAUAUUAUAAUAAUAAAGUAAUGAGGAGAGAGAAAUUGAAAAGGAAAAAUGGAGAAGGAAGAAGAUGGUGAACGGAGAGUUUGAAGAAGAUGAAGAAGUGAGUGUGUGAGAUGCGUUUUCUGAAGCAAAUGGGAUGCAGUAUUUAUAGAUGGAGAAAACACACUGCCACAUCUUCAAACCCUGAAGGAGCGGUCAUGGCCACCGGAGGUGGAGGAAGACCCGCGGGAAUGGAGGAGCUAACCACCCAUGAAUCUCGCAACGUUCUCCAACGUUCUUAAGAUUCCACAUGACCUGCAGAGUGAAGGCGUGAGCGUUCCCAGAGGUGCGGCUACAAUUCAGGGUGGAAGGGGCAACGUCGCAUGAUCACCUUGGAGUAGAUCUAGUCUUCCCCAAACCUCCGCGAUCUCCUCCAACGUCACUGAAGAAUUUUAGGGUUUGACUACUUACUCUGUUUUCCGUUUCGCAAAAACGCACUCUAUUUUUUGUUUUGCAAUAUAUACAGUUUUACAAAAAUCCCCCACAUAUUGCAAAAGAUAAAACAUAUAGAUAAAGAAAGAAAACUUUUGGGUUCAUCUAAGAUGUAAUGCAUCAGAGCUGGUAUAACAAACUAUAUGAACCAGUCUUAGAUUGAUGAAUUUAACACAUAGUGUAGUUGGUAUAGCAAACUAUAUGAACCAAGACACUUCGUAUGUGUUAGAGGUUUUUCAAUCACAAUACACCCCCACAUUACUUGUUGUUAUCGCUGUGUUGCGUCACUAGGCCAUGCGCGUGCCCGGUAUUCAUGAGUACUAUAGAUAUCUUGCCAAGAUCUCAUGCAAGCGGCCCCAAUUGACACUCAUAUAGGUGAUUUCAUCAAGUGUAUGCUGCAAAUUAUACACCACCCAUAAGGGAUAUGAAAAUCAUUAAAACUUUGUAAAUCAUUAAAACUCUUUUACCUCUGAAUUUUAACCACAAAGUUUAUCCUCUCGAUAAUGCAGUAUCUAGCACUUUCACACACACCAUAGGAAUGGACAAAAAUGAUUUUAAACCAAUAUCAAUGCUAGCAGAAGUAACAAGUGACUUGUUUUUACCCAUAUGAACCUUAUUCAUGGGAUCUCCAAUCACAAAGGUUGGGUUUCCAUCACUUGUUUGUUUGCAAGUUGCUUAAGUCCCAUUCCCCUCGAUGUUUCUAAAAUCAUUUUUCUCCCUAGGGGUUUAGUCAGAGGAUCUGCUAGAUUCCGAUCUGACUUGACAUAGUCAAUAGAAAUUGUUCCACUCUUUAAACAGCUGUUUCACCAAAUUAUGUCUCAAUUGUAUAUGUCUAUUCUUUCCAUUGUAGCUUUUAUUUUUAGCUAUAGCUGUUGUCGAUUGGCAAUCACAAUGCAUUGAUACAGAUGGGGUUGGUUUCAUUCCUAAAGGAAUGUUUGCUAAGAAGUUUUUCAACCACUCAGCUUCAUUACCUGCCAUUUCUAGAGCAACAAACUCAGAUUCCAUUGUUGAUCUUGCAAUAAUAGUUUGUCUAGCUGAUCUCCAUGUAACUGCACCACGCCCAAGUGUAAAUACAUAACCACUAGUGGAUUUUGUCUCAUCUGAAUCAGAGAUCCAGUUAGCAUCAUUGUACCCUUUUAGCACAACGGGAAAUCCACUAUAUUCAAUGGCAUAAUCCAUUGAACCUCUCAAAUAUUUCAUGAGUCUCGCAAGUGCAUCCCAAUGAUCCUGACUAAGACAUUGAGUGUAUCUACUCAAUCUACCUACUGCAUAAGCAAUAUUUGGUCUAGAAAAGCUCAUUAAAUGCAAUAAGCUCUCAAUUAUCUGGGCAUACUAAGUUUGAGAAAUAAAUUCUUCUUUGUUCUUCUUUAAUUUAGAAUUAGCAUCAUAAGGGGUACUCACUCACUUAAAGUCAUAGUAACCAAACUUCUUAAGAAGUUUCUCAGUGUAUUUUUCUUGGGAUGGUAAUAUACUAUAUCCCUUCCUUAUGAUUUUAACUCCUAUAAUCACACUUGCUUCCCCCAUGUCUUUCAUCUCAAACUUAGAUCCAAGAAACAAUUUUGUUUUAAAAACUAUAUCAUUGCAUGUACCAAAAAUUAGCAUGUCAUCUACAUACAAACAUAUAAUGACAUAUUCACCAUUUUCAGAUCUAUAAUACACACAUUUAUCAACAUCAUUGAUAGAAAAAUCUUCACAAAGUAAAACAUUAUUAAGUUUUUCAUGCCAUUGUUUUGGUGCUUGUUUCAAACCAUACAAAGAUUUUAAAAGUUUGCAUACUUUUUCCUUUUGACCUGGAACUACACAUCCUUCAGGUUGAGUCAUAUAAAUUUCCUCUUUUAAUUCUCCAUUUAGAAAAGUUGUUUUAACAUCCAUUUGGUGAAUCACUACCUUAUGGAUAGAUGUUAAGGCUAGCAAUACACAGAUAGAGGAAAUCCUAGUAACAGGUGCAAAAGUAUCAAAGUAAUCUAUGUUAUGUUUUUUAGUAAAACCUUUAGCAACUAAUCUUGCCUUAUAUUUCUCUAUGGAUCCAUCAGGAUGGUACUUCUUUUUAAAGAUCCACUUACAACCAAUGGGUUUUGCUCCUUUAGGCAAAUCUACUAAGGUCCACAUAUUAUUUUUCUUAAUUGAAUCAAGCUCAGUUUUAAUGGCCUUAUCCCAAUGUUUAGCAUCAGAAGCACUAGUAGCUUCUACAAAACUUAUUGGAUCAUUCUCAACUAGAUAAGUAUAAAAGUCAUCUCUAAAAGAUGUUUCCUUUCUUUGUCAUUUACUUCUCCUAACAUCCUCACUCAAGGUAUCACUAGCACUAUCUAUAGGUUGUUCAUAUGUACCACUACUCUUUAGAGGAAAGAUGUGUUCAAAAAACUCAGCGUUUUUCGUCUCUACUAUAGUGUUACGUUCAAUUAUAUCACUAUUAAGAACUAGAAACCUAUAGGUAGCACUAUGUUCUGCAUAUCCUAAGAACAUACAAUUAGAUGUUUUAGAGCCUAUUUUCCUUUUCUUAGGAUCAAGUAACAUCACUUUAGCUAAACACCCCUCACUCUUAGGUAUUUCAGAUUAGGUUGAUAACAUUUCCACAACUCAUAGGGUGUUUUACCAGUUUUCCUAUGUGGUAUCCUAUUUUGUAAAAAACACGCAGUAAGCAGAUAUUCACCCCAUAAAAUAUCAGGAGCAUUAGAACUAAUAAGCACGACAUUCAUCAUUUCUUUAAGAGUCAUAUUUUUCCUUUCAGCUACUCCAUUAGACUUAGGUGAAUACGGUGGAGUUACUUCAUGAAUAAUACCUUCUUUCACACAAUAAUCAUUAAAUAAAACAUAUUCACCACCUCUAUCUGAUCUAAUUUUCUUAUUCAGUUGAUUUUUUACUUCUGCUUUAUAAGUUAAAAACAUGUCAAAAGCUUCAUCCUUAUGUUUAAUUAAAUACAUUUUGGUGUAUAUAGAAAAAUCAUUUAUAAAAGUUACAAAAUAAUUUUUACCACCUCUAGAUAUGGUUUGUUUUAAAUCAGCAAGGUCAGUAUGAAUUAAACCAAGAAUUUCAGUUUGACGUUCUACAAAGUGACAUGUUUUCUUUGUUAUUUUAGAUUCUACGCAUACAUCACAUUUACUACUUUGUUUGUCAUGCAUGUUGAUUAAUCCUAGUCGUUGCAAUUUUAUAACAUACGAAGAAUUCACAUGUCCUAAUCUAGCAUGCCAUAUAUCAUACGAGUCAACAAUAUAAGCAUAAGAUUUAGAUUCAUUCAUAAUUUCAUAAAUGUUUAAUACAAACAGGCCUUGAUCACAAUAUCUCUUUCCCACAAAAACAUUGUUUUUUGUCAUAACAAUCUUAUCAAAUUCAAAUUACACUUUAACCCCAACUUUGCUUAGCAAUGCCACAAAGACCAAAUUAACUUUAAUUGAUGGCACAUGUAGCACAUCAUUCUAAGCCAGAGUUUUACCGGAUGUGAGCUUCAGAAGAACUUUUCCUUUUCCUAUGACAGGAGUUGUCCUGAAGUCACCGAGAUAUACUUGUUCUUCUCCAUCCCCCACACUUGUGUAGGAGGUAAACACAUUUAUGUUUGCACAUAUGUGUCUGAUAGCCUCAUAGUCUACCACCCAUUUGCUCACAUUUGUCACAAGGUUUACUUGUGAAACGACUAACAUAAUAGUAUCUUCCCCUUCGGGUAGAUUUGCCUUAGGAGGAUAGUCGUUUUUGGCCCUAUGUUUGCACUGAGGUGCAUGAUGACCUGGUUUUCCACAGACAAAACAAUUACCCUUUUUCUUGUAAGUAGGGUUAGUUUCAGUGAGACGAGAGAAUUUGUUAUUAAGUUUCUUUUUGUGAUCAAUUUUUUUCUCGUACCUUUUUGGAGUUGGUUUGUCUUCUAUCACGUCUGCUUUGACAGACAAAGCUUUGGCCUUUGCAGUAGCGCACUCCUUUCUGUUUGUGUCUUCGAUGAUGAUGUGUGUGAUCAUAUCUGAUAGAGACAUCUGUUUUUGUUUGUGCUUCAGUUGUUGUUUGUAAUUCGUCCAAGAUUGCGAGAGCUUUUCGAUCAAGAGUUCGGACUUCAAUUCAUCCGGCAAGGUUAUGCUUUCAGUUUUGAUAUCUUCAAUCAACUUGUGAUAUUCAUUUAUCUGGAUUUUGAUGUAUUUGCCUUCGAUCAUCUCCCAGCGGUAGUAGUUUGCAAUCACGAACCUUUGUCUGACGAUGUCUUCGACAGUAUAUUUAAGGAUAAGAGAAUCCCAAAUAUCUUUUGCAUUCUUAUAAGAAGCAUAAACAUCGAACAGAUCGUUAGAUAACACACUUAGUAAAGUGUGACGACAUACCUUAUUUGCAUGGAUCCAAUCGUCAACUUGUUUUGCAGUUGUGGUUGAGUCGGGUUUGGAAGUUGUAAGUGCAAGAGCAACUCCGUACAUGUCCAAUAGGGUGGACACGCGUUCUUGCCAACGUCAGAAGUUCUGAACGGUGAAGACUUCAAUUUCGGAGACAUUCGGAAAUGGUUUCGCAAAAAUGGUUUGCGUUGUGGAAACAACAUUUGACGAUCCCAUACCAGUGUUGUUGUUGUUGUUCGUAUUUUCAGCCAUAAGUCCUUACGAUUGUAGUAAAUUAGGCUUUAAAACGAACAAAAAAAAAUAGUUUUCCAAGGUGUGAGUAAUCACUGUUCGUAAGGACUUAUCUACGGUGUAUUGCGCAAGUCCUCCAGGAUACAACAGGAACUUCCCGGAAAUUUUCGAGGAUCAGAACUAGCAAGUUUCUCUUUAAAAGAGUAAUACCCAAAUACCGUUCCUUUAGGGUUUGAAGAAGUGAGUGUGAGAUGUGUUUUCUGAAGCAAAUGGGAUGCAGUAUUUAUAGAUGGAGAAAACACACUGCCACAUCUUCAAACCCUAAAGGAGCGGUCAUGGCCGCCAGAGUGGAGGAAGACCCGCGGGAAUGGAGGAGCUAACCACCCACAAAUCUCGCAACGUUCUCAAGAUUCCACACGACCUGCAGAGCGAAGGUGUGAGCAUUCCCAGAGGUGCGGCUACGAUUCAGGGUGGAAGGGGCAACGUCGCGCGAUCACCUCAGAGCAGAUCCAGUCUUCGCCGAACCUCCGCGAUCUCCUCCAACGUCAUUGAAGAAUUUUUGGGUUUGACUACUUACUAUGUUUUCCGUUUCGUAAAAAUGCACUCUGUUUUUCGUUUUGCAAUAUAUAUACAGUUUUACAACAUUGUACAUAUUAAAUUAUUUUAUUUUUGGGAAAAUUAUUAAUUUUUAAUUUCAUAGUCAACAUUUUUCAAAUUAAAGAAGGAAUAUGAGUAUGUUUUCUUUGAGGAGGAGUUUCUUAGUUUAACCAAAACUUGAUUUAGUGAUUAGAAUAUAAAGUUCUUCUAUACACCAAUCAUAAAAUAAAGAAAGGAAAAAUAAAAUUCGUGCUUUAUUUCUCACUAAUGAAUUGUGAUAUACUAUUUCUCACUAAUAUGUUGAUUUUACAAGAGGAAUACGAGGUAUUAUAAGAAUUUUUUUAAUUUUGAUAUAUGAUGCAAAUAAACCACCAUUCAAUUUUGUAUCCUUCUCAGAAAUUGAGACUUCUCUGUCUUAAUAGACUUACACAACUUAUUAAGACUAAUUGAUGGAUGAUUGAAACUGUUUUCAUAAUUUAUUGCCCACUCUCCCUCUUUUCUAAUUUAGUAACCACGGUUCAUGAUUUAUUUGCAUCUUACUUUGAAAAGUUAGAAUGAAAGUAAGAUAUAAUGAUGAAUGGGUAAACAAAAGAAAAAAUUAUAUAAAUGAUGUAAUUUAUAUCAUUAUUACAAAAAUAUGCAAGUUUAGAAAAUAUUAUAGAAAUAGAAAAUUCGUGUUAUAAGGGUAUGCUUUCAUUCUUCCGAAGUCGUUUUAGGUUUGUUGGUAUUUCUUCUAAUUAAAUAAAUGUACUUAAAUUGUUAUUAUUUUUUAUGAUUUUGGUGAAAAUAAAUAUAUAAAAAUCGUAUUAUGUGAAAACGACUUUUUUUAAGGUUUAAAACAUGAUUAACUUUUUGGAAAAAAGGUAUGUGAAAUUGUUAUACCUGCACAUUUUAGUUCAAUUUCUUUUUUAAUUUGCAUAAAAUAAAAAAAAAAAAAUUGGGUUAAAAACUUGUUGUGGGUAAAUUAAAAAUAUUUUAUUAUUUUAUAAAAUAUUUUGAAAAGACAUGUAUGUUUAGAAUUUAGGUUGAGAUGUUAUGGUUCCUUUUGAGCAAUCAUCUCUUCACAAGCGUAUAAAACAAAUAGAAAUAGAUUGUCACGUGGUCUGAGAAAAAUUAAAAAAGGUUCUCAUCCAUUUGCUUCCAAUUUCUACCACAGAACAACUAGCUGAUAUUUAUACCAAAACUUUAAUCUUUUAAGAAUAUUUGUUCAAAGCUGAGUCUCAUCAAUAUUUGCUCUCCUAAAGUAGUUAUAGAAGGAUCCUAAUAUUAAUUGAGUGUAUUUUCUAAUUAUCCGUGGUUUAUCUUUAUAAAAGAGAAUAAUUUGGUGUCUUUUCUAAUUAUUAGUUAUUUCUUUAUUUCGUCAUUGUGUGUUAUGAUUCUAGUAUUUAAUUAUUGAUUAUUUUCCUCUUUAGUUAAAUCUGGAAUGAGUGUACUACUUAUAUAUAUAUUCAGACCAUUUGAUUUGAUUUAAAUAACAAGAAAAAAAAAAUAUUCAUUGUCAUAUCUUUGACAUCCCUUUUACUCUUUUGUUCAUCUUUUGUUCUCUUUUAUUCAUCUAUGUUCUAUUUCGUAAUAAAAAUGGCUCUAAUACAAUAUUACAAAGUGGACUUUAAAUCUAACUCAACACCAUAAAAUCGACUCAUGUGUGUGAGGUUUGCACCCACUUAUAUACCGGGGUUGAUUUAGGCUUAAAGUCCACUUUAUAAUAAUAUUUGAAAAAAAUACAUAUCUCAAAACUAUGCAUGUGUUUAUAGUUAAUUUUGUUUAGUUAGAAUUAAUUGUAUUAAACAACAUAGAGCAAGAUUAUUUGUGUUUUUUUUUAUUAAUUGAAAUUUGUGUUAAUGUAUAAAUUGUUAAAUUCUCUAAUAUAAGUAUUAAUGAAGGUAUAAAUUAUACAAUGUAUACAAAAAUAAUAGUAGCUGUAUUUAUGUUAAAAUAUUUUUAAUUUUUUAAAAUACUUUAUAAAACAAUAAAAUAUUUUUUAAUUUAUCCCACAAUAAAUUUUUAACUCAAUUUGUUUAAAAAAAUUAUCAUUUUAUGCAAACCGAAGAAAAUUGAACUAAAGCCAUCACAGGAUAUGAUGACUUCAAUGUAGAAAAAAUUCAAAAGUUAAAAAAGAUUGAACUUUAAUCAAAGUCAUUUUCACAUACUACAACUUCUAUAUAUAAAACCCACCAAAUUUGUGAGGGAUGAUGAUAACUUUAGUGCAUUUUUUAAUCAAAAAGAAAGUUGUCUAAGCCUAACAGAGGAAUGAAGUUGUAACCUUUGAGCAUCAUUUUUUCAUUUUUGCAAUAUUUGUUUAACUUGCCUAUUCUAGUAAUAAUGUAGUAAAAUUAUAAAAAAAAGGAUUUUUUUCGAAACAAAACGUACCAAUUGGAUAUUUUUAAUGAUGAUUUUAUUUAUUGAUAAAAAAAUUUAUCAGUAAAUUCAAUUAAAAUAUCAAAAUGUAAAUAAAAGUCUUAAAAUAAAUCAAAUAUUUAAAAAAUUAGGAAUUCAAUACGAGAAUAUUGCAUAAUUUUUAUUAUUUCUAAUACAAAAGAGUUAAACCUGCCAAUAAUCCGAUUUAAAUGUUAAGUAAUUUCAGUUUUUUUUUUGUAUAUAAUUAAGAGAACAUUAAUUUUAUUUUUCACCUUAGUAUAGGUCACACCUGUAAUGGUCCAUAUUAACUCCGGAAUUUCAACCCAUUCUAACACUUUUAUACACACUUGCAUUCUACCUUCUCUUUAUUUUGCUAUUUUCAAGCUAUCAAAACUACUUACUUUUCAGUUGUUUUUAUUACAAAGUUGUUAUGCAUUUAACAAUUUUUUUUCAAAAUUAAAAAAAAAUCAAAUGUCAUCCUUCUCUCAUCUUUGAAAUAUUAUAUUUUGGUGAUCAUAAAUAUUAAAUCAUUCUAAUUGAUUGUUUAUAAUUAAAUUUAUAGUCAACAUCUUUUCAGAUUAGGAAUAAAAUAUAGUGAUAUUAUGAUUAAAGAAGCUUUUAUUUGGUUCUAAAAGUCUAGAAAAUUAUUGGUUUAGAGAGAAAAAUACAUUAUUCUUCGAUAGAAAACCACAAUCUAACAAAUGAAAAAGAACAUUAUCUAUUUAUAUAGAUGGUUGUACCAUCAUAUUAAAUUAUUAAUCUGACUUGUGUUGGAGUUAUUCAUCAUAUUCAAACAUCACCAAAUCGCUAAGAAUAUAAGUUGAUAUUCUCUUUAAUGGGUCCAACAUUGUCUGACCUCAAAGUCUUACAGCGAUGAUAAUUAAUUCAUAGCCCCUCAAAUGAUGUAAUUAGGUUUAAAAAGGAUAAAUUUUAGCUAAAAAUUAUGGAGUGUUGAUCAAUUAUUUAGAUUUAAGGGUGCAGUGAACUAAAGUUUAAAAUAAGAAAAACUCUUAAUCAUGCGUUCAAGUAUGACCUCUAAAAAAACAGUUUUCAGUAGAUUAAAAGAUAAAAAUAAUUGUUACAGAAAAUUAAAAAAAUAAAACUUUUAUGGAUCAAAACCUCAAAACUCAAACCGGGGAAUUACAAAGGAAACAAAAAAAAAAGUAUAGUCUUACAUGCGAAGGUGAAACAAAAUAAUUACAAAAAAAAACUAAGAAAAAAAUCAUAUGAAGCUUUUCCUUUCAACUUUGAAGUUUGUGUUUUUUUAUAGGUUUUUAUGCUCAAAGGAUCUUGGGAAACUGUUAUGGUUUAUAUUUUGUUAACCGUUUUUCAAUUUCCAACUUUCUAUACUUCUUUUCUGGUGCAAAAUAUUUGCUUCCAAUUCUGUUUUUAAGUUAUUGUAGAUUUUAUUUUUUCCUUAUUUUUUCAUUAUUUUCCUCAUAUUUUGUUUUCUCUUUUGAUUUAAAGAAUCAACUUGACUUUUAUAUAUUUGGUCCAUAAUCUAAAAAACACAAAAAAAUAGUUAAGGUCCAAAUAAACCCAAUUAUAUGACUUCAAAUUAAAACAAUGGAUUUAUUUAUUAUUAUAGUCCAAUAAUUUAUGAUUAAAGUUAUUGAGUGUGAAUAAAUAUGUUCUCUUAAAGGAGAUAAACAUUUUCAUGGAAUAUACGCAGGGAAUAAAGUUGAUUAAACCAAUAAACGUAUGUUUUAUUGAUGAACUUCAAUUGAAUUAAAUUGAUGCAUGUUCAAUCUGGUUCAGUUUUGUUUGAGGAUUGAGAAAUGACUCAUCUUUGAGAUAACUUGUGAAGAAUUUCACGGUGGAAGAACUUGGGAUCAACCACUAUUUAUUUAUUAUUUUAAUCUCUUAUAUAUUUUAUAUUAAACAAUCUUAACCCUUAUUUUAUUUUUACUAUUAUUGCUAACUUUUCUCACCUUUAGAUAAAUUAUGAACACUGAUUUUACUAUUAAAUUUGUUAAAAAAUUACUUAGAAUUAUCUGACCAUAAUUAUACUUGUUUAUAUCAUAAUAAUGAUUUGGUAGUAAUCAUGUAACAAAUAAUUUGACAAUGUUACAAAUAAAUAUUAAAACUAUUAAUUAACAUGACUUAUUAUCAAUUUAAAUUAUAUCUCGCUAUACUUAUGCAUAAUCUUCUGUCCAAUAAAAUAUUUGAUUUUAAAAAUUGGUCUUUUAUUAUGAUUCUAUUGUGAUUCUCCAUCAUUUAACAAGAGAAGACAAAGUGAGAUUAUUAGCAAAGCUACUCGAAUUUUGAUAAUUUCAUUUUUUGGUCAAAUCAAUGUUGAUAAAUGGUUUCGCAGAUACUACUAGAAAAAAUAAUUUUAACCUUAAUUAUUUUCAACUUUCUAUAUACUGUUUAUAAACCUAAUGUAUAUGGUAUCAAUGAAAAAAGUGGAACGUAUAACAUUGGUUAACGUGACAACAAAGAUUCUAUGUACCUUAUAAUAUGUCAAAAUAGCACGAAAUUGUUUAUUUUUGCAUUCGGAAACCCUUAUGCACUGAUUAUGAAGUGAAUUGAUAUAGAGUGAUCUUUUAUACUACAUUAGUUUAUGUUAUAGCUAACUUAGCAUGUGAGGUUAUUUAAUGAUGCUUAUAUUUUUUAUGUUUUCCAACUUGUAAUAGAAAAUAUAUAUAAUCAACCUGAUCAUACCUACAUUUGCCUACCAAAUAAAUUCCAAUAUUAAUUUAAAAUAAUAGAUACCCAAAUUGAUUCCACUAAAGUACAUAAUUAUUUAAUCAAAACUAAACACUAAAUAACACACCAAUUCUAAGACUAAAAUAUAAAAUAUUAAUUUAUAUGUAAAAAAAUCCUUUUCCAUUUAAGAAUAUUUUUUUGAACUGUGUUUCUGUUCAAUGAAUAACCACCAAUAAAAGUUGCAACAUAUAUAAUAUAUAUUAAUUUUCUUUUAUAAUAACAUAUUUGAAAUCAUAAAUAUGUUUCUUUUAGAAAAUUUAAAGUGUUCCAUUACUUAUUAAUGAGAAUAUGCAUUACCAACACAAUUUAUAAUCCACACCUACUAUAAUAGUCACCCUUUUCUUAUAGUCUACUAUACUAAUAAAUCAACUUUAAUUAAGUUAAUUCACUGAAAACUAAAAAACAUGACCUAUUAAAAAAAUAUAUUUUCCUAUAUUAAUUAUAAAAACCACAUAAUCGAUUCUGCAUCUUUAGGAAAAAUUUAAAAUCGAUUUACCGUAUGAAAAAAACGAUUUUACAUCAUAUACAAAGAUAGGAAAAUCGAUUCUAAAUCAUCUACAAUGAUAGAAAAAUCGAUUUUGGAAAAAAAUGGAGACAAACCAGUGCACAAAACAGUGAGUUUUACCUUGCUCAAACUAAUUCUCUCUCGUUUUCUUGUUCUGGGCACAACACAACAAUCAAACCUAAUCUCAUUUAUAGCAAACACAACUUUAGUUUCACAUUCAUGAGUCUACCAUUUUGGUAAAGAUUCUUCUGCAAGGUAGCAUUAGAGAGUCUAAUGAAAAGAAAAGUCAUUGACUCAUAACUGCACCACAAUAAACUCAUUCACAUGUGCAUAAAGGAUAGGAAAGUAAAAUGUUAAGUCAAUGGUCUUUGUCACGUGUAAUCCUCUCAAAUCUUCUCACUUUUGUGAAGAGGAAAAAAACUUCACAUUAUGCUCUCCCAUCUGCGCUCACACCUUUAAAUAAACCAAUUAAAACAUGAAUUCCACCGUCCGCCCCUCCCUCAUCCUUAGUCACACCCGGAAACAAAGAGUGGCUAAAAGACUCUAACAAAGAGUGCUAAAGGACUCUAAGAGAUAGGACAAUUCAUCCAUUUACAUGAUGUUUUGAUAAGGUGGUGUAUUGUUGAUGCGUGAAAGUGGAGGGAUGAGGUAAAGUGGUUCUUAUUACCAGACAAAAUCAUUAUUAGACUUAAUUACAGGAAUAUAAUCACUAUUAAUGAGUCUAUAAUUAGACUUAAUUAUAGGAAUAUAAUCACUAUUAAUUGGUCUAUAAUUAGUCUUAAUUAUAGAUGUUAUGUUAGAAAAAGAAGGUUAUGUACGGUUCUAAUGCUAUGGUUAUAUAUAUAUGUAUCAUUGCUAUAGAUGAAAGACAGAUUGAAUAAAACAUAAAAUAUUCUUUCAUGGUAUCAGAGCACAAAACUCUGAUACCCGACAAACACAAAGCAAAGGCAACGGUGCACAACCAUGGCAGCUGCACCAGAAAAGAAUAAUGCCAACAAAGCAGAGCACGAAGGAGGAGGUGCUAAGAAGACCUACUCGCCAUAUGAUCUCAACGCGAGUGACAAUCCCGGAAACAUAAUCACGCAAGUCCAAUUGCGCGGAGAAAAUUACGACGAAUGGGCAAGAGCAGUAAAGAUCUCGCUUCGUGCCCGGAGAAAAUGGGGCUUCAUUGAUGGAACACAUAUCCAACCAGAGGAUGAGGNNNNNNNNNNNNNNNNNNNNNNNNNNNNNNNNNNNNNNNNNNNNNNNNNNNNNNNNNNNNNNNNNNNNNNNNNNNNNNNNNNNNNNNNNNNNNNNNNNNNAAGAUUGGUGGACCGUGCAGUUCAUGAUUGUCUCUUGGAUUCUAAACAUUGAACAAAGCUUACGAUCCACAGUAGCAUAUGCUGAGACUGCACAUAACUUGUGGGAAGACAUUAAAGAAAGAUUAUCGGUCGUGAAUGGACCUAGAAUUCAACAACUAAGGUCGGACUUGUCAAGAUGCAAACAGGAGGGAAUGGUGGUGGCAACUUACUUUGGAAAAUUGAAGGUCCUUUGGGAUGAGCUUGCUAACAGUGACAAAAUUCCAUCUUGUACGUGUGGUGGAUGGAAGUGUGAGAUUGGUGCUCAGUUGGAAAAAUGAAGGGAGGAGGAGAAGGUUCAUCAACUCCUUAUGGGGUUGGAUGACGCAAGCUACGGGACAGUAAGAUCAAACAUUCUGGCCUCAGACCCAUUGCCGUCUCUGAACCGCGUAUAUGCUAUGUUGGUACAAGAAGAAAGAGUGAGAAUGAUGNNNNNNNNNNNNNNNNNNNNNNNNNNNNNNNNNNNNNNNNNNNNNNNNNNNNNNNNNNNNNNNNNNNNNNNNNNNNNNNNNNNNNNNNNNNNNNNNNNNNNNNNNNNNNNNNNNNNNNNNNNUCACGACAUGAAGGGAUGCUUCCAAUUGAUCGGAUAUCCCGAAUGGUGGGGUGACAGACCAAAAAGUGAAGGCAAAUGGAACGGCAGGGGACGCCAAGGGAUGCGAAACAAAGGUAACCCGACACGUGCAAAUGUGGCACACGCUAGUGGAAGCAACAGUCAAGCCAACAAUGACGACAAGAAACUUGAGAUGGCAGGUCUGACCAAUGAACAAUGGAAGGUACUGGUUGAUAUGAUCAGCAAACAAAAAUCAAAUGAAUCAUAGAAAAUGACUGGUAAGAGCAUUUGGGAUUUGUGGAUUAUUGACAGUGGGACAUCAAACCAUAUGACCGGGUCACUGGAAAAUUUGAGUGAAAAUGAAACUAUACAAGGGUGCCCCGUGGGGUUACCCGAUGGUGAACGUGUUUUAGCUUGCGAACAGGGAACAGUGACUCUUGAAGAAGGACUUGAAUUGAAAAAUGUCCUUUAUGUUCCCAAAUUAAAAUGCAAUUUACUUUCAGUACCUCAAUUGACGGAUGAAGAAAAUUGUGUUGUAACAUUCACUGAUAAAUUGUGUAUUAUACAGGACCGCACUUCGAGGACGCUGAUUGGAGCAGGUGAACGGAAAGAUGGGCUUUAUUGGUAUCGUGGGGUACGGAAGACUCAAGCAUGUCAUGUCAAGAUGGAAAAUCAACUAGCACUUUGGCACCAAAGAUUAGGACAUCCGUCAUUUAAGAUUGUGCAAAUGCUUCUUGAUAUAAGUGGGAAAUGUACUCGUGAUGAGUUGAAUAAAGUUUGUGAAGUUUGUGAAAAAUCGAAACAAACGAGAGAUAAGUUUUUCUUAAGUGCGCAUCAAGCUUUGAAUAUUUUUGAUUUAAUUCAUUGUGACUUAUGGGGUCCUUAUAAAACUCCUUCAUCCUGUGGUGCUUCAUAUUUUUUGACAAUUGUGGAUGAUUGUUCACGGGCAGUUUGGAUCUAUUNNNNNNNNNNNNNNNNNNNNNNNNNNNNNNNNNNNNNNNNNNNNNNNNNNNNNNNNNNNNNNNNNNNNNNNNNNNNNNNNNNNNNNNNNNNNNNNNNNNNAUCUUGAUGAUGAGGUUUAUAUGAAACUCCCUCCUAGCUUCCAAUAAUCUCAACCAGGGGCAGUGUGCAAGCUUCAAAAGUCUCUAUAUGGCCUCCGACAGGCCCCAGGUGUUGGUUUGCUAAACUAUCUUCUUCUCUCACUCGUUACGGCUUCCAACAAUCCCCGAAGGAUCAUUCCCUAUUUACUCUCAAUAAUAAUGACAUACAGUUGGUUGUGCUAGUCUACGUUGAUGAUCUUUGAUUGCAGAGAAUAAUGGUACUGCCAUCCAAUGUUUUAAAGGCUACUUAAAUCAAUGCUUUCAUAUGAAAGAUUUAGGCCGCCUCAAGUACUUCUUGGGGGUUGAAGUUGCUCGCUCCCCCAACGGAAUCUUCCUUUGUCAGAGGAAAUAUGCCUUAGAUAUCAUUACUGAAGUCGGAUUGUUGGGUGCGAAGCCUGCCACUACACCAUGUGAAGAAAAUCACAAAUUGAGCUCCGCUACUGGUUCUUUUCUUUCUGACCCGACUACUUAUCGUAGACUUGUUGGGAGGUUAAUUUAUCUGUGUUUCACUCGACCUGACCUUGCCUACAGUGUCCAAGCUUUAUCUCAAUUUAUGCAAAAUCCACGCUCCGAGCAUUGGCAAGCUGCUCUUCGUGUUGUUCGAUAUUUAAAGGGGCAUCCUGGACAAGGAAUACUCCUACCUCGAGAGAACAACUUACAACUCUUUGGGUGGUGUGNNNNNNNNNNNNNNNNNNNNNNNNNNNNNNNNNNNNNNNNNNNNNNNNNNNNNNNNNNNNNNNNNNNNNNNNNNNNNNNNNNNNNNNNNNNNNNNNNNNNAUCCUUCACCGAACUUCCUGUGUCGGGACCCCGCAACAAAAUGAACGCGUCGAACGCAAGCAUCGGCAUAUUCUGAAUGUUGCUCGGUCAUUACGGUUUCAAGGCAAUUUUCCCAUUAAAUUUUGGGGGGAAUGCGUUUUGACUGCAGGCUACUUAAUCAAUCUCACACCAUCCUCCAUUCUAAAAGGAAAAACCCCUUAUGAAGUGAUCCAUGGAUGUGUACCCAGUUACGCGUACUUACGAGUAUUUGGUUCAUUAUGUCAUGCUCAUAAUCAAAAUAGACAGCGGGAUAAAUUUGAUAGUCGUAGCCGAAAAUGUGUGUUUGUCGGGUAUCCAUAUGGCCAAAAAGGAUGGAAAUUAUUUGAUUUAGAAACAGAAACUUUCUUUGUCUCUCGUGAUGUACAUUUUUUCGAAAAUAAAUUUCCAUAUUUUGAANNNNNNNNNNNNNNNNNNNNNNNNNNNNNNNNNNNNNNNNNNNNNNNNNNNNNNNNNNNNNNNNNNNNNNNNNNNNNNNNNNNNNNNNNNNNNNNNNNNNNNNNNNNNNNNNNNNNNNNNNNNNNNNNNNNNNNNNNNNNNNNNNNNNNNNNNNNNNNNNNNNNNNNNNNNNNNNNNNNNNNNNNNNNNNNNNNNNNNNNNNNNNNNNNNNNNNNNNNNNNNNNNNNNNNNNNNNNNNNNNNNNNNNNNNNNNNNNNNNNNNNNNNNNNNNNNNNNNNNNNNNNNNNNNNNNNNNNNNNNNNNNNNNNNNNNNNNNNNNNNNNNNNNNNNNNNNNNNNNNNNNNNNNNNNNNNNNNNNNNNACGAACGCACCAAACACAUUGAAGUUGACUGCCACCUUGUUCGAGAUGAAAUCAUUCACAAGCGCCUUCUUCCAUCAUAUGUGCCCACACAUACACAACUAGCUGACCUUUUCACCAAAGCUCUCGGUGCUAAAAAGUUUGGAGCCAUCUUGGUCAAGUUGGGCAUUCAAGACUUACAUGCUCCAACUUGAGGGGAGGUAUUACCGGACAAAAUCAUUAUUAGACUUAAUUACAGGAAUAUAAUCACUAUUAAUGAGUCUAUAAUUAGACUUAAUUAUAGGAAUAUAAUCACUAUUAAUGGGUCUAUAAUUAGUCUUAAUUACAGAUGUUAUGUUAGAAAAAGAAUCGGUUAUGUACGGUUCUAAUACUAUGGUUAUAUAUAUGUAUCAUUGCUAUAGAUGAAAGACAGAUUGAAUAAAACAUAAAAUAUUAUUUCAGUUAUUCUCCCCUUUUGCAAAGAUUUAUAAAGGAUAAAAGAAUUAAGACAAAGCCACGUGGCAUGAUUAUAUUACAUGUGUGCCUUUUAAUUAUUUGUCCCAACAAUUUACGAGUUCAUUUUCUAAUUUUUAAAACAUAAUCAAAUUUAAAAAAUAAAAAGAUAAAUAAAUUUACAUAAUUUUCAAUUCUAAAAAAUAAAAUAAAAUAUAAAUAUUUUAGUGUUAUGUUUUAUAUUUGAUUAACAAUCAUAUAUAAUAAAAAAUAAUUUAAAUAAUUUAAAAUUACUUUCUAAAAUAUAUUAAUUAUAUUACAAAAUAAAAAUAUAAAAUAUAUUUAUUUCAUUAUAAAUAUAUUAUAUAAAUUAAUAAAAAAAUAAUUAUAUUAUGAAAUUCAAAUAUUUUUUAAAAAAUUCCAAUAUUCAAAUUUAAUUUUUUUUAUCAGUAUGUUAUAAACGAGGCAUAAUUGACCAUUCAUUAGUUUUGAAGACAUAAUCAAUUAUGUAGUAUGUUAUAAAUUAGACAUAAUCUAUUAUUCUCAUGAUAUAUGUUACAUGUUGUUGGAUUUGUGUUUAUGUUUUUUUUCAUGAAAAUGGUUAUUUUUUUCCAGUGGCAUGUGUAAAUAUUGAGUUCAUUACUAUUAUAAAAAAAAUAAAUUAUUUAAAUUCAAUACAACUUUUUUUAAUUAUAUUUAUAAAAUUGCGAGUAUUUAAAUUAUUUAUUCUUAUAUAAUAAUUUAAAAUUUUCACAUAUAUAUUGAUAAUUUUCCAUCUUUACAAUCUAUAUUAUCAUACAAUUAUGAAUAUCAAAAUAUUAUUUUUAAUGCAAACACAAUUAUUUUAUAAUAAUUUUGUAUUUUUUUUGACAGAUUUACAUAAUUUGUAUUUUUUUUUUCAAAAGUCAGUUCUCAUAUAGUUCCAAAAAAUAAUGUUUUAAUUACAAUCACCUAAAAUGCAUAAAUAAAUUAUUUUUUAAAAUUAUUUUAAAUAUAACAGUAAAUUUGUGUAUAUUUAGAUAAUAUUAUUUUUAUGACAACUUUUCAUGUUCCAACAAUGUUAAGUAACUUAUUUUUUUAAAAUAAUUAUUUAAUGGUACAAAAAAUAAUUUACAAAACUUAAUUUACAAUACUUUGGAGUUAGGUAUCCCAUUUUGACAUCAUAGAAUGAUUUAUUGAAAAUUAAACUCAAAUUCUAUAAAACUUAAUUUAAGUAUUAUAAACACUUGUACACAUUUAUAAAGAACUUUAUCACAUUAAAUUAAUAGUGAAACAUUUUUUUUAAAAUUUUUGUUACCAAAAUGAAUAUUUAAAUAAAUGAAUAAAUUUAGCAAAACUUUUAAAUACGUGAAACAAUAAAAGAAACUAUAACAAGUAUAAUCAGAGUUAUAUUUUUUUAUGGUUGACUUAUACAACGAAAUAAACCCCUUCCCUCACCAAUCUACAUGCUGACAAUUAAAUUAGAAAUCAAUCCUCAUCCCAAAAUAUAAAUAAUUUCAUAUUAUCUUUUAAAAUCACAAUGAGGAUUUCUUAAUAUUUAAGUUAAAAAAUAAAAUAAACUACUUUUAUCAUUGUUAAUAUAAAAUAUUUUAAAGAGGGGAUAAAAUAGCAAUUUGAUAAUAUAUUUUUGAUUUUGAAAUAAAAAUUGUUAAACGCGUAACAAUUGUAUAGUGGAAAUAAUUCAAUAGGGAAUAUUGAAUGAAAAAUAGUUAUUUGAUUUGUUAUAUUGUUUUAUUAUAGAGUAAUGAAUUUUCUUAAAACAAAUAAUAUUUACAUAGAUACAUUAAAAGAAUAACUUUGAUAUGCACUCGUUUGUUUUGUGAUAUAUGGAAGUGUUUCCUUUCCUUUGUAAAAUUGUCUUGUUUUUUUUAAUACUGAAAGGUAGUAGCCGCCAGCAAGAAUAAAUUUAGGCGCCAAAGGAAAACUGAGAAGCGAAUCUCAGCCGUUCAUCAACAGGCUCAUCAAAGCGCCAGCUCAUCGAUCCGCACUAAAGCCCAGUAGCCAAUAAGAAGGUCAAAACUUUUUCCUAUAUUAACAAUCCUUGCACGCUCUCAUCAUUCACUUCUUCAAUUGCUUUUCCAUUUAGCUUUUGGAAUCCCAAUUCGAAACCCUAUUUUUCUUCAGAGAACCAAAUUCUGCACUAGAUAUGGCACCAAAGGCAGAGAAGAAGCCAGCGGAGAAGAAGCCCGCGGAGGAGAAGAAGUCAACCGUCGCAGACAAGGCUCCGGCGGAGAAGAAGCCGAAGGCAGGAAAGAAGCUUCCGAAGGAAGGAGGAGCUGGUGGUGAUAAGAAGAAGAAGAGAAACAAGAAGAGCGUGGAGACAUACAAGAUCUACAUCUUCAAGGUUCUGAAGCAGGUUCACCCUGAUAUUGGAAUCUCCAGCAAGGCCAUGGGCAUCAUGAACAGUUUCAUCAACGACAUUUUCGAGAAGCUUGCCCAGGAAUCUUCUAGGCUUGCCCGCUACAACAAGAAACCAACCAUCACUUCACGAGAAAUUCAGACUGCGGUCAGACUUGUGCUGCCCGGAGAAUUGGCCAAACAUGCUGUGUCUGAGGGUACCAAGGCUGUUACAAAGUUCACUAGUUCUUGAACAAAUUGUCUGUUUUCCUGACCUGUGUUCUUGGUCCCCUAUGUUUGUUGACUGUAUCUGGUGGAUCUAAUGUUCUGUUCCUAGAUUUUUUAGUUAGGUUUUAGUUCAAAUUGAAGAAAUGGGAUUGUGACAUCCUUUGUGUAUUGAAAUGAUUUUAUUAAUCCUAUAGCCUUUGAAAUCAACUCCUGUCUACAUGUUCUACAAUUUAUUAGGUUUAUGGGAUGAUGUUUCCAAAGAGAAUGAUUCUUAUAUCAAUUCACACUGUUAAAAAAGUUUCGAUUAAUUCUUAAUUUUACAAAACGAGUUCCGCCUAUUUUAUCUUAAGAUAUUGGAUGCAGAACCAUCGGGGAUUAAGUUUGUUAGCAUCUUAAUUAUUUGUUUGUAUAAUUUCAUAAACUAGUCUAGGAAUUCAAUUAUUGUACAUGUUUAGUUUGGUUUGAAGGUGAAGUGCUAUUUAUUUGCAUUAGAAUUUGUAAUUAAAAGAAAUUUAGUCUUCUUGCUUGUCACUCAGUGACAACAGAAAAUAAUCAUUCCAUUUUCUAACAUCGGCCAAUUCAUGUAAUGAUCAAAAUAUAUUAAGAAACAAAGUUACCUAUUAUAAUGAUUAUUAGCUGAAUAGCUUAAUCGAUUUUAAGUGCAUAUGAAAAUAGAAUGGGAAACUAAAUGUGAGUUUAAAACUGUUACUGCUAGUGCACCGUCCUUAUCAUUUGGUUACCAGUAACAUUUUACGGCAGAAAAUAAAAUCAAACAGGAGACGCACGGAGCCGCAAGUUAUAUAAUCUCAAUGAUCUUAUAUUAAUAUUUUUGUUACUAGUUUCCAAAACCACACACUUACAUCUAUGAAAAAAUAAGAUUAACUCGGGCGUAAAAAAUUGUAGUGUCCUAAGAAAUUUGGGCAUGAUGUACAAGUCCUCAGAAUAUAACAUUCUUUCUAAUAAUAAUGGGACAACAGAACUAACAAAUCUUAAAACCAGAAUAACUCCGAAAUUCACAAAGAACAAAACGUGGGAGUAAAAGCUCUGCACAACUCGUCUAACACCACUGUCCAGAGGAUUAGGUGAGAUUAAGAAGACUAAAUGAUUGAGCCAACAAUUUUUUUAAUAACCACUCAAAAAAUUUAAUUAAUAAAAUAAAGAAUUUAAACUUUUGAAAUAUGACAAAAAUAUACAGCAAUUUCAAGUCAAGGAACACGAGAACAACCAUUCAAAUCAUCAAAACAAAUUGAGGCAAUCUAAAACGCCCUUAAAUAAUAAACCUACAUUGAAUGACUAAACUUAAAAGCUUAGAGUAUAGAUAGACUUCAAGUAUCAAAAGGAGAAAGUUAAUAUGCUGCAACCAUAAACUGUGUAGUGAAUUGUUUGACAGACUUGGUCCCUAGCGUUUGUGUGCAUAACUAACCCGAAUGCGUCUGCCAUCCAGUAUCUGUGAAAGAAUAAGGAACAAGAUCCAUGAAUAACAAUGUCGGUUGACAUAGAAGGAAACUUCUUUGGCCAAUAAGUCCGCAUAUUUUCAAAGUUUGUGAUAUAAAAGAGUGAAUUCAUCUUAAACAAAUAGGAGAAAUGAAAAAAAUAAAGACCUGGCCAUUCAUUUCUUUGCGAGCUGUAGCAGCUGUAGUUUCAGAAACAAACCGCACCAAUCCAUAACCUUUAGAUUUCCCAGUCACUUGAUCACAUAUUACUCUAACUGCAAAAAGAAAAAUAAAAGAUUUCAGAGCAAUUGCGGCAUAGUUGCAUGACCAAAUUGGAAACAAAAAUAAGAGAAAAAUAUCUUAGGUUUUAACCUUCAAUGAUUUCACCAUGCUGCUCAAAGGCAUCUCUCAGAAUCGGUUCAUUGGUAUCCCAGGAAAGCCCUUCGUUCCAAAACAAAACCAAAAAACUCCCAGUCAAAAUUGAACAUUUAGCUGAACUAUCAGAACUCUAAAAUGGAGCAAUUAAUAUUAGGUUUUAAAAAUAAAGUAGAGAUGAAAGAAGUUAGAGAAAACCUGCGACAAACAAGUUGGCUGAUGAAUGAUGACGCACACACAGAAAUCUAGAUAAGGGGAAAAGAAGAGGGUUGCCUUUCGCUAAUGCACGGCUUAUUUGCAUAACUGUGAACUUUCAAUUGAUAUCUUAAACACAUUAAAGUGUUUUUCGCAGACUUGGAAAGAUACAACAAGCUGUUUUCACAUACAGUUCUACUAAGCCAUUAUGUUCCUUACGAAAUGAAAUACUUUCUGCUAUGACGACUAAGUGAAAAGGAGGACUACAAAUUCGCUUCUUGGUCCUCUGUGUUACUUCUAAUCUGAGCUGCAAGUAUAUUCCUGCAGCUAAAAUAAACUCAAUUAAAAAUGUAUGUUCGUUUUGUUAAUAUCCAUAAAAAAAUUAGCAAUUACAUAGGGUUCCACUAUUUACUAGACUUCAAUAUAAUUAAGCAAUCCAAGUAGACUAAUUGGUCCAUAAGAAAAAUGUACCAAUUAAAUCAUUUAACAGAAAAAUGAAUGAAAAGUAGUAAUUUGAAUGAAUAUUCCUACCUACCAAACAUGUUCUUAACCUGUUCAUAGCAUUCUGGUGUGUUUCGUAUUGCAUGGUUCAACUUGAUGGCAACAACACAUUGACAUAAACUGCCAUGCCAAUUGUCAUACCAUAUGCAAAUAGACAUCCAAGAUCACACAACAAGAUCACAACAGAGUGAAAUAACUUUCAUUCUAUAAGGAAUAAUCAUCUUAAAUGGUGAAUAAUGAAUUGAGGGAAAGGAAUCGCAGGUUUGCAACAAUGAAACCGACAAUAGCAUAUCAGUAAUUUGAUGCAGAAAAAAAAGAGUAUACUAAGACUAAGGGUUUUGAGCAUUCUAACUGAAACAAUUAGACUCGUGUAUAAUCCUUACAGAUUGUGUUUGUUUGCUCCAACUUUAAUACGCUACCUUAGUAGUUUAGACAUGUGUGUUUCCACAGACAUACACAAAAUUAUAAUAACAAAGAAAAUAAAAAAAAUUCAAAGAAAGACAGAAACAUAGAUGCAGUUAGUAUUUUAUCAAACACCAAAGUUUUAAAGGAAGUUUAAUUAGCCAAGCAUAAUCAAUCCAAUGCAAUUAAUGAUCAGAAUCAAACAAUUAUUGAAUAAGAUUACCAAUUCAAACUCAAAUUCGCCUCCUACCGCACUUGUCAGUAAGAACCCUGCAAUUCCUUCUCCCUGUAUCCUCCUCCACAUCCACUCACGAUGGUGGCUCAAAGUGGUUUUCUGCAUCGAUCUAAGAGGUUGAUUUGAGAGAAUAAUGUUGAGGAUUUACAGACAUGGGAGAAAUGAACAAAACCCUUUUUUUCUUCGAACAGCAGAGGCGGCGAUGGUAAGUGGAGAAACGCUAUAUUUCCACCGGUUAAGUUCAAGAGCUUCAACUGGUUCUGAAUUUCACCUACCCCAAUACCCCAUCACACCACAUUGGUCACUGGUUUUUACAUUCCAUAAAAAUUUAACUUUAUCUUCGUUUUUCACGUUUUGAAAACCCACUUCAAAAAUGGCAAAAUAAAGGAAAGAUAAAAAUUUAUGGGAAUAUAAAAAGAAAGGUUCCACCAUAUUUUUGAAUAAAAGUACGAUAUUUUAAAAAUUGAAUUAUUCAUAAAUUGAAUAAAGUAGUAAUAAUAACAUAAAAUAGAUUUAAAAGAAUGGAAUAUCGUAAAAUCAUAACACUAACGAUUAAAUAAAAAAAAUUAAGUAAAUUUUGAAUAAAAAUAUUCAUAACUAUUUAGUGUAAAUUUUAAUAAAAUACACCAAUAUUAAUAAAAAAAUAAUUUUACAUAUACAAUAAUAAAGAAAAUGAGAAAUUGUGAAUAAGAUUGAUUCAUUUUGAUUUUUUUUUAAAAAUAUUCAUUCAGAAACCUUGUUCCAGUAUACAACUCUAUUUUUUCUAAAAUUUCAAAUUUUAUAUCAUUCCCUUUUUAAAUAUCAUCAAUUAAGGAUUGUAAUAUCAUCAAUUAAGGAUUGUAGUAGUGGAUCAAGUUCUCCAUAUAUAUUCUAGUUUCAAAAAUUUGUGAACAAGAUUACUUCUUUCACUUCCCAUCUUAUAUGUGCUUACUCUCCCACUUUUUCAACACCUCUUAACUCUUUCUUUCCAAAGCUAACUUUCUCACAUUUAUUCUUAUUUUUCAUCAUGUCUUCAUUUUCAUUAAGAGACACUUUCUUCAUAUCUUAAACAAAUAAGUAUGGCAAUGUAAAAAGAUUGAGUUAAUUACAAAAAGUAGUUUUUUUAGUAUAUAAAACAUAAAUAAUGAACACUAAUUUUUGGAAUGUGACAAAAAAAACUAACUACAUCUUACACCUAAUCUUUGUAGCCUAAUUAUUCCUUGCACCAAAUGAUUUCUGUCUGCACCGGAUUCAGUUUUUAUUUUCAAACUUAUCCUUCAUUUCAAAAGUAAAUUUUUGUGUUUCAGAAAUGAAAUUUCAAAAUAAAAUUGGGAAAUCAAAAUCUCCUUAAAAAAAACAGUUUUGGAAUACAAAGCCUACAUACCCAAAUCAAAAUUUUCAAAAAAUGAUUUCUGGAAUCCAGAAAAAUGUUCAGGGAAAACAAAUCUAGAAACCUAUUUUUGUAAAAUGUAUUUUAAUUCGUACUCCCUCUUAUCUAAAAGCAUUUUUGUCAUUUCAAGUAACAUAAGGUGCAAACAAUUCAUGGUGCAUAAAGUAAUUGGCAUCUAUUUAAUGUAGAAAAUCUAUUUUAACUUUUUUUAACUAUUAUUAUGAUUGGUGUAUGUAUUAUAGCAACUGUGCUUGGUUUAUGGCCUACAUCAAAAGUUGGUUUGAAACAUGUCAAAGUGGAGAAUCCAUGAUUAACUAUUAUGUGUUGUAGAAAUGAAGGCUUCAGCUCCAUAAAAGUUCAUUGUUGAUUCAUAUAUGUCGUUAAUAACUUCAUAAGAGUUAAUAUAAGUAAAAUCUAUCUGUUAGCCUUUUCCAAAAUAUCCUUAAGUCUGAUAAUUUUAUCCUUUACUCCAUAAUGUGAGUGAUUUAUAAAAGAUUUAUCAUAACUUAUAUACAUGGUCAGUUUGUAGAGUUUGAAAAAAGUGGAUGGCGAUUCAAAAAUUGAAGAAAUAGUGAAGUUUUCUGAAGUCUCGAAAACAUGUUGAAGGUGGAGUGUAGGAUUAACUUAUAUACUUUACAGCAUUUACUGGUGCACAACAACCAUUCUUCUAUGAAGCCACAAAAGUUAAGGGGAAAAGAAAAUUCAAGAGAAUGAACAACCUCAAUCACUUACACAUCUUAAUUUGGCCAACUACAAAAGCAAUGAGUUAUAUAUCAAAUUCCAGAUUCGCUAAUCAAUGAGGUCCAAAUACUUGAACAAAUCUACACAACUAUUUCAACUUUUAUCAUAAAGCUUGUCAAAAGGAAAUGGAAAAUACAGACACAAGUUCAUUUCAAAAGAUUCUAUAGCAUCAAUUUAGUCAUUUCAAUACACAAAAGGAUGUGACCAAUCCUAUUCCUUCAAUUUAAACCAUAAAAAAUUGAACCUACUGAUUUAAACCUAGGAACAGAACUUAGAUCCACUAAAUACAGCUUAAAAACAUAAAGGGACCAAGGGCACAGAUCAGCAAUAAGAUGUUUUGUUCAAGAACUAGUGAACUUUGUAACAGCCUUGGUACCCUCAGACACAGCAUGUUUGGCCAAUUCUCCGGGCAGCACGAGUCUGACCGCAGUCUGGAUUUCCCUUGAAGUGAUGGUGGGUUUCUUGUUGUAGCGGGCAAGUCUAGAAGAUUCCUGGGCAAGUUUCUCGAAGAUGUCGUUGAUGAAACUGUUCAUGAUGCCCAUGGCCUUGCUGGAGAUACCAAUGUCAGGGUGAACCUGCUUCAGAACCUUAAAGAUGUAGAUCUUGUAUGUCUCCACACUCUUCUUGUUUCUCUUCUUCUUCUUAUCACCACCAGCUCCUCCUUCCUUCGGAAGCUUCUUUCCUGCCUUAGGCUUCUUCUCCGCCGGAGCCUUGUCUCCCACCGUUGAUUUCUUCUCCUCCGCAGGCUUCUUCUCUGCUGGCUUCUUCUCUGCCUUUGGUGCCAUGUCUAGUGCAGAAUUUGGUGCUCUGUAGAAAAUUAGGGUUUCGAAUUGGGAUUCC